rnacentral:misc_RNA from 1 species
GUUCAGUCUCUUUCCAUCUUGGAGGUUAGUUUCACAUAAUAUUUCAUCUGUAUCAUAUACCACAACUAUCACCUCUGGAGUUUGGAAUUGAUCCUGGCACUUGCACACUGUCAAGAAAAAGCAUAAAUUGUCAUGUAAUGUGAUCUAUUCACUCACAAUUAUUGCCUAAAGCCAAUGCAUGUGAAAUGCUCAAUUUGAAUAUCAUUUUUCAAAGUGUAACAACAUUAAUAAUGCAAAUUUAGCUUGAAACUAGUGUUCUUUGAAAUUGCAACCUACAAUCUCUGUGUGCAUGCUAGCAAUUUAGAUAGAUUGUAAGCAUGGACAAGGAUGACCGUCGGCUAGUGAUUUGAUGAGUCUUGUUUAAGUUUUUUAUUCAUACUUUUGAGAAUACUAUGUUAUUUUAUUUCCCCUUCUACUGACAUUCUAGAAAAAUAUGCAUUUAUUUAGAUAACAAAGGAAUUGGCACGGU